rnacentral:rRNA from 1 species
AUUGAACGCUGGCGGCAUGCCUUACACAUGCAAGUCGAACGGCAGCACGGGUGCUUGCACCUGGUGGCGAGUGGCGAACGGGUGAGUAAUACAUCGGAACGUACCUUAUCGUGGGGGAUAACGCAGCGAAAGCUGUGCUAAUACCGCAUACGCCCUGAGGGGGAAAGCGGGGGAUCGCAAGACCUCGCGCGAUUAGAGCGGCCGAUGCCUGAUUAGCUUGUUGGUGGGGUAAAAGCCCACCAAGGCGACGAUCAGUAGCAGGUCUGAGAGGACGAUCAGCCACACUGGGACUGAGACACGGCCCAGACUCCUACGGGAAGUAGCAGUGGGGAAUUUUGGACAGUGGGGGCAACCCUGAUCCAGCAAUGCCGCGUGAGUGAAGAAGGCCUUCGGGUUGUAAAGCUCUUUUAUCAGGGAAGAAACACCGGCUCUAACACAGUCUGGGAAUGACGGUACCUGAAGAAUAAGCACCGGCUAACUACGUGCCAGCAGCCGCAGUAA